AUGAACGCUGACAGAAUGCUUAACACAUGCAAGUCUUUGGCGAAGCUGUGCUUGCACCGCCUAGCCAAGGCGGACGGGUGAGUAACGCGUAAGGAACUUGCCCUGCAGUCAGGGAUAACAGACGGAAACGACUGAUAAGACCUGGUAAAGUCAGGCGGACUCAUGUCCAGCCUGAUGAAAAGAGAUGCUGCAGGAGAGCCUUGCGUCCUAUUAGCUUGUUGGUGGGGUAACGGCCCACCAAGGCGAUGAUAGGUAGCCGGCCUGAGAGGGUGGACGGCCACAAGGGGACUGAGAUACGGCCCUUACUCCUACGGGAGGCAGCAGUGGGGAAUAUUGGACAAUGGGGGCAACCCUGAUCCAGCAAUUCUGUGUGCACGAUGAAGGUUUUCGGAUUGUAAAGUGCUUUCAGCAGGGAAGAAAAAAAUGACGGUACCUGCAGAAGAAGCGACGGCUAAAUACGUG
rnacentral:rRNA from 1 species